GACGAACGCUGGCGGCGUGCUUAACACAUGCAAGUCGAACGGAAAGGCCUUUUCGGAGGUACUCGAGUGGCGAACGGGUGAGUAACACGUGGGUGAUCUGCCCUGCACUCUGGGAUAAGCCUGGGAAACUGGGUCUAAUACCGGAGAGGACCGCACUUUAGUGUGUGUGGUGGAAAGUUUUUUCGGUGUAGGAUGAGCCCGCGGCCUAUCAGCUUGUUGGUGGGGUAAUGGCCUACCAAGGCGGCGACGGGUAGCCGGACUGAGAGGUUGGUCGGCCACAUUGGGACUGAGAUACGGCCCAGACUCCUACGGGAGGCAGCAGUGGGGAAUAUUGCACCAUGGGCGCAAGCCUGAUGCAGCGACGCCGCGUGGGGGAUGACGGCCUUCGGGUUGUAAACUCCUUUCGCCAGGGACGAAGCGUUUUGUGACGGUACCUGGAGAAGAAGCACCGGCUAACUACGUG
rnacentral:rRNA from 1 species